GCUGAUUCCACUUAGCUUCCAAGAGCACGUGGGAUGUGGUGCCAAUGAGACAUAAAAAAUGUGGCUAAGUGAUGUAUUUACCAGAGUUGGACCACUGAGUAAAGCUAUGGAACAGCAAAGAAAUAAACAGGAGCAAUCCAUUGGCAGCAGCAAUUUACUUGGAUUAUCCACAAGCAAUCAGGGGAAGAAUGCCUGGCUUCUGAAAAAUCACAAGGGAAAGAUGUAUCAAGACUGGAGAGGGAUAAUAGUAUCAGAGACCACAACUCCCUACACAAUGCUCAGCAAUAAGGAACAUCAAGAAAGAUUA